rnacentral:rRNA from 1 species
UACGGAAGGGGCAAGCGUUGUUCGGAAUCAUUGGGCGUAAAGAGCUCGUAGGCGGUGUGUCGCGUCGGCCGUGAAAACCUGCAGCUUAACUGUGGGCUUGCGGUCGAUACGGGCAUCACUGGAGUUCGGCAGGGGAGACUGGAAUUCCUGGUGUAGCGGUGAAAUGCGCAGAUAUCAGGAGGAACACCGGUGGCGAAGGCGGGUCUCUGGGCCGAUACUGACGCUGAGGAGCGAAAGCGUGGGGAGCAAACAGG